rnacentral:rRNA from 1 species
AUUGAACGCUGGCGGCAUGCCUUACACAUGCAAGUCGAACGGCAGCACGGACUUCGGUCUGGUGGCGAGUGGCGAACGGGUGAGUAAUGUAUCGGAACGUACCAUUGAGUGGGGGAUAACGUAGCGAGAGUUACGCUAAUACCGCAUACGAUCUAUGGAUGAAAGCGGGGGAUCGCAAGACCUCGCGCGAUUGGAGCGGCCGAUAUCAGAUUAGGUAGUUGGGGGGGUAAAGGCUCACCAAUCCGACGAUCUGUAGCUGGUCUGAGAGGCCGACCAGCCACACUGGGACUGAGACACGGCCCAGACUCCUACGGGAGGCAGCAGUGGGGAAUUUUGGACAAUGGGCGAAAGCCUGAUCCAGCCAUGCCGCGUGCAGGAUGAAGGCCUUCGGGUUGUAAACUGCUUUUGUACGGAACGAAAAGGUUUGGCCUAAUAAGCUGAGCUCAUGACGGUACCGUAAGAAUAAGCACCGGCUAACUACGUGCCAGCAGCCGCAGUAA